GUCUUCUUCCGCAGCACACAUGCCGAAACCUGGACGACACAGAGCAGAUUAGCACAGCCCCUGCACAAGGAUGAGACACAAAUUCACAAAGUGUUCCUUAUUUAG